rnacentral:pre_miRNA from 1 species
AGAAAGAGACGGACAAAGACUGGGAACAGGCAGAGCAUGGGUGGAACUAUUAACACAAGUAUCUGUUUUAGCACCACCCAUGCACUGCCUCUUCCCUGGCUUGCGGGUCUUCUUUUUCU